ACUGACUGCUAUCGGAUUGAUACUAAGCCAUGCGAGUCAUUGUAGUAAUACAAGGCAGACGGCUCAGUAACGCGUAGUCAACCUACCCUAUGGACGGGAAUAACCUCGGGAAACUGAGUAUAAUGCCCGAUAGAACACUAUACCUGGAAUGGUUUGUGUUCCAAAUGAUUUAUCGCCGUAGGAUGGGACUGCGGCCUAUCAGUUUGUUGGUGAGGUAAUGGCCCACCAAGACUAUUACAGGUACGGGCUCUGAGAGGAGUAGCCCGGAGAUGGGUACUGAGACACGGACCCAGGCCCUAUGGGGCGCAGCAGGCGAGAAAACUUUGCAAUGUGCGAAAGCACGACAAGGUUAAUCCGAGUGGUUUGUGCUAAACGAACCUUUUGACAGUCCUAGAAACACUGUUGAAUAAGGGGUGGGCAAGUUCUGGUGUCAGCCGCCGCGGUAAAACCAGCACCUCACGUGGUCAGGAUGAUUAUUGGGCGCUAAAGCAUCCCGUAGCCCGGCUCUGUAAGUUUUCGGUUAAAUCUGUAUGCUCAACAUACAGGCUGCCGGGAAUACUGCAAAAGCUAGGGAGUGGGAGAGGUAGACCGUACUCGGUAGCGAAGGGGUAAAAUCCUUUGAUCUAUUGGU
rnacentral:rRNA from 1 species